rnacentral:rRNA from 1 species
AUUCCAGCUCCAAUAGCGUAUAUUAAUGUUGUUGCAGUUAAAAAGCUCGUAGUUGGAUUUCUGGUGGGAGCGGCCGGUCCGCCGUAAGGUGUGUACUUGGUUGUCUCCUGUCAUCCUUGUGGGAACUGCUCUGGCAUUAAGUUGUCGGGGUUAGGGAACACAUCGUUUACUGUGAAAAAAUUAGAGUGUUUAAAGCAGGCUUAUGCCGUUGAAUACAUUAGCAUGGAAUAAUAAGAUAGGACUUUGGCGUCUAUUUUGUUGGUUUGCACACCAAGGUAAUGAUUAAUAGGGACAGUCAGUGGCACUCGUAUUCCGCCGAGAGAGGUGAAAUUCUCAGACCAGCGGAAGACGAACUACUGCGAAAGCAUUUGCCAGGGAUGUUUUCAUUA